UACGUAGGGGGCGAGCGUUGUCCGGAUUUAUUGGGCGUAAAGAGCUCGUAGGCGGUUUGGUAAGUUGGAUGUGAAAUCUCCAGAGCUCAACUCGGAAACUGCUUCGCAUACUGGCAGGCUGGAGGAACGGAGAGGUGAGUGGAAUUCCUGGUGUACCGGUGAAAUGGGUUGAUAUCAGGAGGAACACCGAUGGCGAAGGCAGCUCACUGGCCGUUAUCUGACGCUGAGGCGCGAAAGCGUGGGUAGCAAACAGG
rnacentral:rRNA from 1 species